rnacentral:rRNA from 1 species
UGCCAGCCGCCGCGGUAAUACGGAGGGUGCGAGCGUUAAUCGGAAUCACUGGGCGUAAAGCGUGCGUAGGCGGCGCAGCAAGUCAGACGUGAAAGCCCUCGGCUCAACCGAGGAAUUGCGUUUGAAACUGCUGUGCUUGAGUCUCGGAGAGGUUGGCGGAAUUCCAGGUGUAGGAGUGAAAUCCGUAGAUAUCUGGAGGAACACCGGUGGCGAAGGCGGCUCCCAGGCCCGGGACUGACGCUGAGGCGCGAAAGCGUGGGGAGCAAACAGGAUUAGAUA